UACGGGGGGGGGCAAGCGUUUGUUCGGAAUUACUGGGCGUAAAGGGCGUGUAGGUGGCCAACUAAGUCCGACGUGAAAUCCCCAGGCUUAACCUGGGAACUGCGUCGGAUACUGGAUGGCUUGAAUUCGGGAGAGGGAUGCAGAAUUCCAGGUGUAGCGGUGAAAUGCGUAGAUAUCUGGAGGAAUACCGGUGGCGAAGGCGGCAUCCUGGACCGAUACUGACGCUGAGGAGCGAAAAGCGUGGGGGAGCGAACAGG
rnacentral:rRNA from 1 species